CUCGCUCAGGAUGAACGCUGGCGGCGUGCCUAAUACAUGCAAGUCGAACGAGUUCUGAUUAUUGAAAGGUGCUUGCAUCUUGAUUUAAUUUUGAACGAGUGGCGGACGGGUGAGUAACACGUGGGUAACCUGCCCUUAAGUGGGGGAUAACAUUUGGAAACAGAUGCUAAUACCGCAUAAAUCCAAGAACCGCAUGGUUCUUGGCUGAAAGAUGGCGUAAGCUAUCGCUUUUGGAUGGACCCGCGGCGUAUUAGCUAGUUGGUGAGGUAACGGCUCACCAAGGCAAUGAUACGUAGCCGAACUGAGAGGUUGAUCGGCCACAUUGGGACUGAGACACGGCCCAAACUCCUACGGGAGGCAGCAGUAGGGAAUCUUCCACAAUGGACGCAAGUCUGAUGGAGCAACGCCGCGUGAGUGAAGAAGGCUUUCGGGUCGUAAAACUCUGUUGUUGGAGAAGAAUGGUCGGCAGAGUAACUGUUGUCGGCGUGACGGUAUCCAACCAGAAAGCCACGGCUAACUACGUGCCAGCAGCCGCGGUAAUACGUAGGUGGCAAGCGUUAUCCGGAUUUAUUGGGCGUAAAGCGAGCGCAGGCGGUUUUUUAAGUCUGAUGUGAAAGCCCUCGGCUUAACCGAGGAAGUGCAUCGGAAACUGGGAAACUUGAGUGCAGAAGAGGACAGUGGAACUCCAUGUGUAGCGGUGAAAUGCGUAGAUAUAUGGAAGAACACCAGUGGCGAAGGCGGCUGUCUGGUCUGUAACUGACGCUGAGGCUCGAAAGCAUGGGUAGCGAACAGGAUUAGAUACCCUGGUAGUCCAUGCCGUAAACGAUGAAUGCUAGGUGUUGGAGGGUUUCCGCCCUUCAGUGCCGCAGCUAACGCAUUAAGCAUUCCGCCUGGGGAGUACGACCGCAAGGUUGAAACUCAAAGGAAUUGACGGGGGCCCGCACAAGCGGUGGAGCAUGUGGUUUAAUUCGAAGCAACGCGAAGAACCUUACCAGGUCUUGACAUCUUUUGAUCACCUGAGAGAUCAGGUUUCCCCUUCGGGGGCAAAAUGACAGGUGGUGCAUGGUUGUCGUCAGCUCGUGUCGUGAGAUGUUGGGUUAAGUCCCGCAACGAGCGCAACCCUUAUGACUAGUUGCCAGCAUUUAGUUGGGCACUCUAGUAAGACUGCCGGUGACAAACCGGAGGAAGGUGGGGAUGACGUCAAAUCAUCAUGCCCCUUAUGACCUGGGCUACACACGUGCUACAAUGGAUGGUACAACGAGUUGCGAGACCGCGAGGUCAAGCUAAUCUCUUAAAGCCAUUCUCAGUUCGGACUGUAGGCUGCAACUCGCCUACACGAAGUCGGAAUCGCUAGUAAUCGCGGAUCAGCACGCCGCGGUGAAUACGUUCCCGGGCCUUGUACACACCGCCCGUCACACCAUGAGAGUUUGUAACACCCGAAGCCGGUGGCGUAACCCUUUUAGGGAGCGAGCCGUCUAAGGUGGGACAAAUGAUUAGGGUGAAGUCU
rnacentral:rRNA from 1 species